rnacentral:rRNA from 1 species
UGCCUCACGCCCUUAUAUGUAAGGUACGCCCUGCCCAGUGAGCUACGCGCUUAAACGGCCGCGGUAUCUUGACCGUGCAAAGGUAGCAUAAUCAUUUGCCUUUUAAUUGUAGGCUAGUAUGAAUGGGUAAACGAGAAAGCACUUGUCUCUUUUUUAUUAAGUAAAAUUGACCUUUAGGUGAAGAUGCCUAAAUAUACUAAAAAGACAAAAAGACCCUAUUGAGUUUAAUAAAAUUAGCAACACACUGACAACUAACUGCAUGAAAGUGACCACGUUACUUUAUUUGGUUGGGGCAACCGAGGAGCAAACACACCCUCCUCUUUUAUAUAAGACUUUAAGUCAAUAAGACCCACCUCCGUGAUCAAAAAAAUAACACUACCAUAGGGAUAACAGGCUAAUUUCUUCAGAGAGCCCAUAUUGACGAAGAAGUUUGGCACCUCGAUGUUGGCUUAGGACAUCCCUCAAGUGCAGCAGCUUGAAAGGGUUGGUUUGUUCACCCAUUAAAGUCCUA